rnacentral:rRNA from 1 species
UACGUAGGGUGCAAGCGUGUCCGGAAUUAUUGGGCGUAAAGAGCUCGUAGGCGGCUUGUCGCGUCGACUGUGAAAACCCGCGGCUCACGCGGCCGCUGCAGCCGAUACGGGCAGGCUAGAGUUCGGUAGGGGAGACUGGAAUUCCUGGUGUAGCGGUGAAAUGCGCAGAUAUCAGGAGGAACACCGAUGGCGAAGGCAGGUCUCUGGGCCGAUACUGACGCUGAGGAGCGAAAGCGUGGGGAGCGAACAGG